GACGAACGCUGGCGGCGCGCUUAACACAUGCAAGUCGAACGGAAAGGCCUGCUUUCCCUUGUGGAUUGCGGGUACUCGAGUGGCGAACGGGUGAGUAACACGUGAGUGAUCUGCCCCCAACUUGGGUAUAAGCCUGGGAAACUGGGUCUAAUUCCCGAUAGGACUGCAGGGUGGUGCCUGUGGUGGAAAACGAUUUUCUAGUGGUUGGGGAUGAGCUCGCGGCCUAUCAGCUUGUUGGUGGGGUAAUGGCCUACCAAGGCGGCGACGGGUAGCCGGCCUGGGAGGGUGGACGGCCACAUUGGGACGGAGAUACGGCCCAGACGCCUACGGGAGGCAGCAGUGGGGAAUAUUGCGCAAUGGGCGGAAGCCUGAUGCAGCGACGCCGCGUGGGGGAUGACGGCCUUCGGAUUGUAGACUCCUUUCGACCGCGAGGAAGCCACCUGGUUGGAAGGGUGGUGACGGUAGUGGUAGAAGAAGCACCGGCUAACUACGUG
rnacentral:rRNA from 1 species